rnacentral:rRNA from 1 species
CCCUUAGAUGUUCUGGGCCGCACGCGCGCUACACUGAUGCAUUCAACGAGUUUCUUCCUGGUCCGAGAGGAAUGGGUAACCUUUUGAAAGUGCAUCGUGAUAGGGAUAGACUAUUGCAAUUAUUGGUCUUCAACGAGGAAUUCCUAGUAGACGUAGUUCAUCAGACUGCAUCGAUUACGUCCCUGCCCUUUGUACACACCGCCCGUCGCUACUACCGAUUGAAUGGUUUAGUGAGAUCUCCGGAUUGGCUCUGUAGGUCCCGCAAGGGAUUUAUUAGUAGCCAAGAAGCUGCUCAAACUUGAUCAUUUAGAGGAAGUAAAAGUCGUAACA